rnacentral:lncRNA from 1 species
AUGACAACGACCAUGGCUGAAUUUAUGAAGCAAAGGACUUUGGUUAUGUUACCAAUGAUAAUGAUGGUGGGACAUGGCAAUGCCAUCCUGGGAAAGAUUGACCCUCAACAGAAUAUAUGGGUCACCUGGGCUAAUCAAACUGAACAAAGUUCAUUUUGUUUGUCCCUUGCCUCUGCCUCUGACCCUUUUAGAACAUGCUUGUUUGGGGUCCCGAUAGGGGAUCCAAAGAAAUUGAGUAAAAUGUUAGCACCAUACUCUGCUAGUACUACUUUGCUUAGUGGAUCCUCUUAUGCAAAUGUAUCGGAUGGAGUAGUUGCUGCCUUGCAAGCUCUCAAUAACUCGCUGCCAUGGGACCCUCAAGAAAUGGAUAUUUUGGGGUCUGUGGCUAUAGGGAAUAGUAGCAACAAUUGGACACAAACGUGCUUUAUACUUAAUGAAGGAAAGCAAAAUAAAACGCAGUGGACUAACAUAACGUCAAAGACUCCUGGAUUUGAGGCAAAUGGGUCUUACUGUGGAUGGAACAUUACUGGCAACAAUAGCAAACCAUUUGGAGCGUAUGGAAUGAAUGACUUUGAGGCUAUUUGGCGGCAAAGGCUGGCCAAAGCCUUACCACCUGGCAUAUUUUUGAUUUGCGGGGACCGUGCAUGGCAAGGAAUACCUGCCAAUUCCUUUGGGGGUCCAUGUUAUUUAGGACAACUCGCGUUGUUUGCCCCUAAUCUAUACAAUCUGUGGAACCAGAGCAUGUCACGAAGAUCCAGACGAGCUCUUAAAACUUUGGGUUCUGACUGUGACGAUGGUGUAGAAUUACAGGGUGCUGCUGAAAGAGUAUUUGCUUCAUUAGUUCCUGGGAUAGGAACUGCACAUGCAUUAACUAGUAAGCUUGCUUGUUGGGCUGUUAAACAAUCAAAUGUUACAACGCAAAUUCUCUCAGAAAUGUCACAAGACAUGGAGAGUUUAAGACGUGCUGUGCUGCAAAAUAGAGCUGCAAUUGAUUUCUUGUUAUUAGCUCAAGGACAUGGGUGUGAAGAUGUAGAAGGGAUGUGUUGCUUUAAUCUCUCCAAUCAUGGUCAAUCAAUUCAUAAUCAAUUGAAAUGGCUAAGGGAUCAUACCCGAAAAAUCCAACAGAGUAAUUGGUUUGAUGAUUGGCUUAGAUCUAUAUUUGGAAAUAUGGGUGAGUGGUUUUUAGUCUAA